rnacentral:lncRNA from 1 species
AAGAACAUAAAAGCCACAGUUUACUUCCAAAAUAAUAUCUCUAGUAGCUUACAAUAUUUAACAUUUCUAGUUCACGGUAAUGGAUUCUGAAUAAAUAAUAAAUGGUGUGUAUUUAUACAGCACUUUCAACCUUGAUUAAGGCCUGAAGUGCUUUACAGUCAUAGUCCCAUUCACCCAUCCAAAUGCACAUUCUCACACUGGUGGUAGCUCAGCUGCUAUACAUGGCACCAGCCUGUAACCACCUCCCACACCUACCAGUUUACGAUCUGCUCACCUGCUCGCACUAGGCCCUGCAUCAGGCUGCAGCCUUUAUCUGGACUACCACACCCUUCAGCAGACGUCAGUUCGUCUGCUUCCUGCGGGAAUCCUACCAACCUCGUCAGCACCACCUUCGACUACCCGCUAUUCCACCAGGAAACCAACCCAGGUUCCAAAUCAUCUCUGUCAUUACAGCUUCCACCAGACCAGAAGCUCACCUGCUUCAUCACUACCAAAGCCACGCGAAUUGCAGUCCAGAACCCUCCACCACUAUUGGCGCUGCUCAAUAAACCGUUGUCAACUUACUACAGUAUCUGUCCUGCUUCUGGUUCCAGAUGAGGAUAAGCUGGCAGUCAGAGAUUUGUGUAAAGAAAAAAAUAACCCCCCCGAGGACCUGGAGAAAGCGGCUGAGCAGAGGGAAGUUGGGCAUCUUUGCUUAGACUGCUGCCCCUACGUCCCGGUCCCGGAUGAGCGGAAGAAGAUGGAUGAAUGGAUGGAUGAAACCCACAAAUACCUGUUUGAUUUGAAUCCAUGGCUGUGCAUGAAAAAUGUACCUUUGUUUUCAGUUAUUAACCAACAAUUCCAACCCAUUUUCAGUUGGAAAUUUUAA